GAUGAACGCUGGCGGCGUGCUUAACACAUGCAAGUCGAACGAAGCACUUAAGACGGAUUACUUCGGUUUGAAGUCUUAUUUGACUGAGUGGCGGACGGGUGAGUAACGCGUGGGUAACCUGCCUCAUACAGGGGGAUAACAGUUAGAAAUGACUGCUAAUACCGCAUAAGCGCACGGUCUCGCAUGGGACGGUGUGAAAAACUCCGGUGGUAUGAGAUGGACCCGCGUCUGAUUAGCUGGUUGGUGAGGUAAGGGCUCACCAAGGCGACGAUCAGUAGCCGGCCUGAGAGGGUGAACGGCCACAUUGGGACUGAGACACGGCCCAA
rnacentral:rRNA from 1 species